rnacentral:rRNA from 1 species
GUGACAGCCGCCGCGGUAAUACGUAGGCAGCAAGCGUUGUUCGGAGUUACUGGGCGUAAAGGGUGUGUAGGCGGUUGUUUAAGUUUGGUGUGAAACCUCCCGGCUUAACUGGGAAGGUGCGCCGAAUACUGGUAGGCUAGAGUGCGGGAGAGGAAAGCGGAAUUCCUGGUGUAGCGGUGAAAUGCGUAGAUAUCAGGAGGAACACCUGCGGUGUAGACGGCUUUCUGGACCGCCACUGACGCUGAGACACGAAAGCGUGGGUAGCAAACAGGAUUAGAUACCCUUGUAGUCC